GCCCGCGUAGCUCAAUCGGAUAGAGCGUGAGACUUUUAGGACACCUCCUAAGAGUACGCGUAGGCAUCUCAAGGUUGCGAGUUCGACCCUCGCCGUGGGCU